GCUUACUUCGGCAGCAGACACUAAAACUGGAAUGACAUACAGGAGAUUAGCAUGGCCCCUGCUAAAGGAUGACAUGCAAAUUCAUAAAGCAUUCCACUUUUUU
ensembl:snRNA U6 U6 spliceosomal RNA